rnacentral:rRNA from 1 species
AGCUUGCUCCCUGCUGACGACCGGCGCACGGGUGAGUAAUGUAUAUGUGACGUGCCUUCUAGACGGGGAUAGCCACUGGAAACGGUGAUAAUACCCGAUACUCCCUUCGGGGGAAAUGCUUUCGCGCUAGAAGAUCGGCCUGUAUCGUAUCAGCUUGUUGGUGGGGUAAUGGCCUACCAAGGCGAUGACGCGUAGCCGGCCUGAGAGGGUGAUCGGCCACACUGGUACUGAGACACGGACCAGACUCCUACGGGAGGCAGCAGUGGGGAAUAUUGGACAAUGGGGGCAACCCUGAUCCAGCAAUGCCGCGUGGAGGAUGACGGAUUUCGGUCUGUAAACUCCUUUUUUCAGAGAAGAUCAUGACGGUAUCUGAAGAACAAGCACCGGCUAACUCCGUGCCAGCAGCCGCGGUAAUACGGAGGGUGCAAGCGUUACUCGGAAUCACUGGGCGUAAAGCGCGCGCAGGCGGACUUUCAAGUCUUGAGUGAAAUCCUAUGGCUUAACCAUAGAACUGCUUGGGAAACUGGGAGUCUAGAGUGUGGGAGAGGCAGGUGGAAUUCCCGGUGUAGGGGUAAAAUCCGUAGAGAUCGGGAGGAAUACCUAUUGCGAAGGCGACCUGCUGGAACACAACUGACGCUGAGGCGCGAAAGCGUGGGUAGCAAACAGGAUUAGAUACCCUGGUAGUCCACGCCCUAAACGAUGGAUGCUAGUUGCUGUGGCGCUCGUCGUUGCAGUAAUACAGCUAACGCAUUAAGCAUCCCGCCUGGGGAGUACGGUCGCAAGAUUAAAACUCAAAGGAAUAGACGGGGACCCGCACAAGCGGUGGAGCAUGUGGUUUAAUUCGAAGAUACGCGAAGAACCUUACCCGGGCUUGACAUCCUUGGAACCCGCUGGAAACAGUGGGGUGCUAGCUUGCUAGAGCCAAGUGACAGGUGCUGCACGGCCGUCGUCAGCUCGUGUCGUGAGAUGUUGGGUUAAGUCCCGCAACGAGCGCAACCCUCGUCCUUAGUUGCUAACGGGUUAUGCCGAGAACUCUAAGGAGACUGCCCUCGCAAGGGGGAGGAAGGUGAGGAUGACGUCAGGUCAUCAUGGCCCUUACGCCCGGGGCAACACACGUGCUACAAUGGGUAGGACAAAGAGACGCAAGACCGCGAGGUGGAGCAAAUCUUUAAACCUACUCUCAGUUCGGAUUGCUCUCUGCAACUCGAGAGCAUGAAGCCGGAAUCGCUAGUAAUCGUAGAUCAGCUAUGCUACGGUGAUACGUUCCCGGGUCUUGUACUCACCGCCCGUCACACCAUGGGAGUUGAUUUCACCCGAAGUCGGGAAGCUAAACUGGCUACCGCCCACGGCGGAAUCAGCGACUGG